UGGCUCUGGCAUCGAUGAAGAACGCAGCGAAAUGCGAUAAGUAAUGUGAAUUGCAGAAUUCAGUGAAUCAUCGAAUCUUUGAACGCACAUUGCGCCCCCGGGCAUUCCCGGGGGCAUGCCUGUUCGAGCGUCAUUUCAACCCUCAAGCGUCUCGCUUGGUCUUGGGCCACGCCGGCAACGGCCGGCCUUAAAAUCAGUGGCGGUGCCGCCGGGCUCUGCGCGUAGUAACACUUCUCGCGCUUGGGUUCCGGUGGUUGCUUGCCAACAACCCCCAAUUUUUUAUGGUUGGCCUCGGAUCAGGUAGGGAUACCCGCUGA
rnacentral:misc_RNA from 1 species